rnacentral:rRNA from 1 species
AGAUUCCGGAGAAGGAGCCUGAGAAACGGCUACUACAUCUAAGGAGGGCAGCAGGCGCGCAAAUUACCCAAUCCUGACACAGGGAGGUAGUGACAAGAAAUAGCAACGCAGGGCAUAUGCUUUGCGAUUGAAAUGAGUAGAACUUAAAGCUUUCUGCGAGUAUCAAUUGGAGGGCAAGUCUGGUGCCAGCAGCCGCGGUAAUUCCAGCUCCAAUAGCGUAUAUUAAAGUUGUUGCAGUUAAAACGCUCGUAGUUGGACUUCUGCCUGGUUUCUGUUCUCCGCCAGUGGUGUGCAGAGCAGAAUCUUGGCAUCCGUCUGUUGGAGCUUCUGCUCCUUCGGACUCUUUACUUUGAGAAAAUUAGAAUGUUUCAAGUAGGCUUACGCC